UGUGUAGCGGUGAAAUGCGUAGAGAUAUGGAGGAACACCAGUGGCGAAGGCGACUUUCUGGUCUGUAACUGACACUGAGGCGCGAAAGCGUGGGGAGCAAACAGGAUUAGAUACCCUGGUAGUCCACGCCGUAAACGAUGAGUGCUAAGUGUUAGAGGGUUUCCGCCCUUUAGUGCUGAAGUUAACGCAUUAAGCACUCCGCCUGGGGAGUACGGCCGCAAGGCUGAAACUCAAAGGAAUUGACGGGGGCCCGCACAAGCGGUGGAGCAUGUGGUUUAAUUGGAAGCAACGGGAAGAACCUUACCAGGUCUUGACAUCUUCUGACAACCCUAGAGAUAGGGCUUUUCCUUCGGGAGCAGAGUGACAGGUGGUGCAUGGUUGUCGUCAGCUCGUGUCGUGAGAUGUUGGGUUAAGUCCCGC
rnacentral:rRNA from 1 species